rnacentral:rRNA from 1 species
UACGUAGGGGGCAAGCGUUGUCCGGAAUUACUGGGCGUAAAGCGCAUGUAGGCGGAGGGGUGUGUCGAACGUGAAAGGCUGCGGCUCAACCGCAGAGCGCCGUUCGAAACUGCCUUUCUUGAGGGCCGAAGAGGAGAGUGGAAUUCCCGGUGUAGCGGUGAAAUGCGUAGAGAUCGGGAGGAACACCCAUGGCGAAGGCAGCUCUCUGGUCGGUCUCUGACGCUGAGAUGCGAAAGCGUGGGGAGCGAACGGG